UGCCUGGCGGCAAGAGCGCGAUGGUCCCACCUGAACCCAUGCCGAACUCAGAAGUGAAACGUUGUAGCGCCGAUGGUAGUGUGGGGUCUCCCCAUGCGAGAGUAGGGAACUGCCAGGCAC
rnacentral:rRNA from 1 species